rnacentral:sRNA from 1 species
GCCAGGUGCAGGUGUGCAUGCCUGUAAUCCUAGCAGCUCAGGAGGCUGAGACAGGAGGAUCAUGAGUUCAAAGCCAGCUUCAGCAAAAGUGAGGGGCUAAGCAACUCAGUGAGACCCUGUCUCUA